rnacentral:ribozyme from 1 species
UCUCCCUGUUUCCACUCCUCUCAUAUGUUUUGUUUUAUCAUUCUGCUUCUCACUUGUUUCGUCACAUCUACUUACAGAUUCAAGAUGCACACAGACACGAGAUCUAUCAGCAAGAGAAAUGGAGGAGACGAUCUAUUGUAUUAUAUCUUACCUAUUAUAUUACACAUAAACAAACAGAAAGAAGAGAGACGAUCUGUUAUUGUACCUAUUCAACCUAUAGUACACGUGUAG